rnacentral:lncRNA from 1 species
UCGAAACGGCAGAGAGGCUGUUUCCAAACGACCCUCGGCGCAUAGGAUAAAAUGGAAUGCUGCAUUGGAACAAAGACAAAAUUAGGAACCAAAGCAAGACAAAACAAAGUAAUAAAGCAUAAGUAAUCAGAAAUAACGUAAAUAAUUAUGCAAACAUAAGAAACAUAAAUACAGUCGCAUGCAAUAAUAACAAGCAGUAACUACCAUACUAACAACCAAAAGGGGACN